UGACAAAUGAAGUGAAAAUGGCCAGUUCCUGCCUUAACUGAUGACAUUACCUUGUGAAAUUCCUUCUCAUGGCUCAUCCUGGCUCAAAAGCUCCCCCACUGAGCACCUUGUGACCCCCACCCCUGCCAGACAGAGAACAACCCCCUUUGACUGUAAUUUUCCACUACCUACCCAAAUCCUACAAAACAGCCCCAUCCCUAUCUCCCUUUGCUAACUCUCUUUUCCGACUCAGCCCGCCUGUACCCAGGUGAUUAAAAAGCUUUAUUGCUCACACAAAGCCUCUUUGGUGGUCUCUUCACACAGACCCAUGUGAAAUUUGGUGCCGUGACUCAGAUCGGGGGACCUCCCUUGGGAGAUCAAUCCCUGGUCCUCCUGCUCUUUGCUACAUGAGAAAGAUCCACCUACGACCUCUGGUCCUCAGACCAACCAGUCCAAGGAAUAUCUCACCAAUUUUAAAUUGGCUUAGCAGCUGAAGACUGAGGCUGCCCGAACACCUCAGAAGCCUCCUGGACCAUCACAGAUGCUUACAGUGGAGGAAGACAGCAAUGUCAGACCUCUGAACCCAAGCAUGCACGUAUUCAUCCAGAUUGCCUGAAGUAACUGAAGAAUGACAAAAGAAGUGAAAAUGGCCAGUUCCUGCCUUAAUUGAUGACAUCACCUUGUGAAAUUCCUUUUCCUGGCUCAUCCUGGCUCAAAAGCUCCCCCACUGAGCACCUUAUGACCCCCACCCCUGCCAGCCAGAGAACAACCUCCUUUGACUGUAAUUUUCCACUACCUACCCAAAUCCUAUAAAACAGCCCCACCCCUAUCUCCCUUCACUGGCUUUCUUUUCGGACUCAGCUUGCCUGCACCCAGGUGAAAUAAACAGCUUUAUUGCUCACACAAAGCCUGUUUGGUGAACUCUUCACACACAAGUGCAUGAAAUUUCCCAUCUGAAAGUAUUUGGUGCAUUCUUAUAUUAUGAAAUAUAAAGUUUAAGAAUCUUCACAUGGCAUUUAUUGCAUUGAUUUUUAUCCAGAUCUUUCAAAAACCUGUUCCCCAGGAACUCCAUUCAUAUACUAGACACAGGAUUAUUCUACCACAUAAGAGUGUGCACAUAAAUUUAGUAUACCAGAGAAUGCAUAUUACUACCCAAUUUUUAAACCAAAAUAUAUAUAUUUUUUCAUUUAUUUAACACCUUA
rnacentral:lncRNA from 10 species